UACGGCAACAUCAUGUUGAAACACCGGUUACCAUACGAUCGCCGAAGUUAAGCAACGUCGAGAAUGGCCAGUACUUAGAUGGGUGACCACUUGGUUUUUCUAGGUGCUGUAAG